AUCCAUAUGAGAAGUCCUAAAUAGGACGAAACGCGCGUCGUGAAU
rnacentral:hammerhead_ribozyme from 1 species